UACGUAGGGUGCGAGCGUUGUCCGGAAUUACUGGGCGUAAAGCGUGCGUAGGUGGUUUGUUAAGUCUGAUGUGAAAGCCCUGGGCUCAACCUGGGAAUUGCAUUGGAUACUGGCAGGCUAGAGUGCGGUAGAGGAUGGCGGAAUUCCCGGUGUAGCAGUGAAAUGCGUAGAGAUCGGGAGGAACAUCUGUGGCGAAGGCGGCCAUCUGAACCAGCACUGACACUGAGGCACGAAAGCGUGGGGAGCAAACAGG
rnacentral:rRNA from 1 species